UAAUCACACCAAGCAAAUAGCACAAACAAAGUCAGUCAAUAGUUUUGUUUUGAUAAAACAAUCGAAAUUACUUCACAUAUAUUUUUGGAAUUGGAUCAUCAGUGGGAGUGUACCUUUUCCCGACAUGUCUGGUCUUGUCAAGUCUGGAAAUGACAAACCGACAAAGUAUUUAAAGUUAAUGAUAAACUCACAUUUCUUUGGUUGUGAAACAAGAUGAAAAUAAAAGGAAGCUGCAAACUGAAUGGAAGACAUUUAGUAUUUCACACUUCAGAAGAAUAACUUGACAGACAUUGGUGUAAAGAGACACAAAUCUCAAAAAUGAAGACUGUGAUUCUUGCUUUUUUGGUCUUGUUGCUCAUCAGCCAAAAUGAAGCCUUGAGGUGCAAAUGUGAGGGCACCACAAUUAAGUGUCCAAGUCCCAUAGAGGAAUGCAAUGGUCCUGAUGGCGUCUGCAUUGGUGUCGCCUUUUUACAAGUACCAGGUGCUUACUUUAAGCGCUGCACAACUUCAAGAGCCUGCUCUCUCUUGAAUCGACCAGGUGUUACAUAUGCCAGAUGCUGCAGGACUGACCUGUGCAACUGAUCAUCCAAUUAUCAAGCAAAUGAUCAGAUUAUGAUUAAUGCGAAAGACACUGUCACCUGUUGUUUUACA